rnacentral:rRNA from 1 species
UGGGGAAUAUUGCACAAUGGGCGCAAGCCUGAUGCAGCCAUGCCGCGUGUAUGAAGAAGGCCUUCGGGUUGUACAGUACUUUCAGCGGGGAGGAAGGCGAUAAGGUUAAUAACCUUGUCGAUUGACGUUACCCGCAGAAGAAGCACCGGCUAACUCCGUGCCAGCAGCCGCGGUAAUACGGAGGGUGCAAGCGUUAAUCGGAAUUACUGGGCGUAAAGCGCACGCAGGCGGUCUGUCAAGUCGGAUGUGAAAUCCCCGGGCUCAACCUGGGAACUGCAUUCGAAACUGGCAGGCUAGAGUCUUGUAGAGGGGGGUAGAAUUCCAGGUGUAGCGGUGAAAUGCGUAGAGAUCUGGAGGAAUACCGGUGGCGAAGGCGGCCCCCUGGACAAAGACUGACGCUCAGGUGCGAAAGCGUGGGGAGCAAACA